UACGAAGGGGGCUAGCGUUGUUCGGAUUUACUGGGCGUAAAGCGCACGUAGGCGGAUCGUUAAGUCGGGGGUGAAAUCCUGGAGCUCAACUCCAGAACUGCCUUCGAUACUGGCGAUCUUGAGUCCGGAAGAGGUGAGUGGAACUCCUAGUGUAGAGGUGGAAUUCGUAGAUAUUAGGAAGAACACCAGUGGCGAAGGCGGCUCACUGGUCCGGUACUGACGCUGAGGUGCGAAAGCGUGGGGAGCAAACAGGGAUUAAGAUACCCGGU
rnacentral:rRNA from 1 species